AAUGAACGCUGGCGGCGCGCCUAAUACAUGCAAGUCGAGCGAGAAGACGUAGCAAUACGUUUGUAAAGCGGCGAACGGGUGAGGAAUACAUGGGUAACCUACCCUAGAGUGGGGAAUAACUAGCCGAAAGGUUAGCUAAUACCGCGUACGCUCCUUGGACUUCGGUUCAGGGAGGAAAGCGAUGCCGAGGGUAUCGCGCUCUUGGAUGGGCUCAUGUCCUAUCAGCUUGNGGUGAGGUAACGGCUCACCAAGGCUUCGACGGGUAGCUGGUCUGAGAGGACGAUCAGCCACACUGGCACUGCGACACGGGCCAGACUCCUACGGGAGGCAGCAGUAAGGAAUAUUGCGCAAUGGGCGAAAAGCCUGACGCAGCGACGCCGCGUGGGGGGA
rnacentral:rRNA from 1 species